GACGAACGCUGGCGGCGUGCUUAACACAUGCAAGUCGAACGGAAAGGCCCUGCUUUUGUGGGGUGCUCGAGUGGCGAACGGGUGAGUAACACGUGAGUAACCUGCCCUUGACUUUGGGAUAACUUCAGGAAACUGGGGCUAAUACCGGAUAGGAGCUCCUGCUGCAUGGUGGGGGUUGGAAAGUUUCGGCGGUUGGGGAUGGACUCGCGGCUUAUCAGCUUGUUGGUGGGGUAGUGGCUUACCAAGUCUUUGACGGGUAGCCGGCCUGAGAGGGUGACCGGCCACAUUGGGACUGAGAUACGGCCCAGACUCCUACGGGAGGCAGCAGUGGGGAAUAUUGCACAAUGGGCGGAAGCCUGAUGCAGAAACGCCGCGUGCGGGAUGACGGCCUUCGGGUUGUAAACCGCUUUCGCCUGUGACGAAGCGUGAGUGACGGUAAUGGGUAAAGAAGCACCGGCUAACUACGUG
rnacentral:rRNA from 1 species